CUAGGGUUUGAAACUCAAAUAUGGGGGUAGAUGCAAUUGAACAAAAAAUGAUGUUGUAAUGGUCAUUUAGUGACCAUUUGGUGUAGUUUGAAUUGAAAAUGGAGUGAUUAGUAACAUUAACUAAUGUAAAGAAUUAGACUGCCUAAAGUGUGCAUUCUGGACCCUUUGAGUCCAGUGUGCUCUUGGGGUUAUAACUCAAGCUAGG
rnacentral:misc_RNA from 1 species